UGAGAGGGAGAGAAAGAGCAUACCCCUUAAAAAUUGGGUAAGAUUUGUGCCGUGAGCCUUUGACUCUCAACACAUUUCUAAGGAACUCAGUGGUAGUUGUUUCCUUGUUGAAAUCUGUGUUCCACCAAUUUAAACUUCAUGUGCAACGUCUCUUCCGGAAUGUAGAUUUAAUAAAGCACACUCCGAUGCUGACGUAAAUCAUGUUGGAUCUGAGUUCCAAUGGCUAUUAGUUGAAAUUUACAGCAGAUUUUGAGGUGUCAGUUUUAAAAUUGAAAUAAAUAAAUGGGUGUUGUCUUUCCAUUCUUCAUCAUAGAAAUGGUUUACUCCAUGCUUCAGAUUUGAUUUUCAUAUGGCAUUUGGUGCGUGUUGCUUGCAGACGACUGCAUCAGAAAGUGGCAUUUUCGACCAUUUGAUAAAUGUAUGGGAAUUUAAUCCCGGACCCAUUCCAGGAACUUGUGACCUUUAUUUCUUGGUGGAUUUCAAGUUCCAGUCACUGCUUUACCGACAGGUGGCAUCCAUGUUCUUCAAAGAGGUGGUUUCUCGGCUCGUCACCUCAUUCAGCGAUCGCUGCCGUAUGAUUUAUGGGCCAGGCAUACAAGUCCUAGAAAAUUCUUACGGGGAGCAGAGGUCAUAACAACACUUCAGUCACACCCUGUAUACAAAGGCAGAUGCAAAUGCCCUCCACAGCUUGUUGGUUGGAGCACUUUCCGCAUCUGUUCAGUCAUAGAAACAAACUUAUUGUAUUUCACUCACGCCGCCCUCUUUUGCCUUCCAUUUUCCCUUGAGCUAUUGUCUGCUCUCAUUUAAGAAUAGAUUUAUGAAAUUUUUGAUGUGUAACCAUAAGAUAAAAUAACUUCUUAACGCAUUUGAUUACAA